GAUGAACGCUAGCGGCAGGCCUAGUACAUGCAAGUCGAACGGGAUUAAGAGGCUUGCUUCUUAUGAGAGUGGCGCACGGGUGCGUAACACGUAUGCAACCUACCUUCAACUGGGGGAUAGCCUUCCGAAAGGGAGAUUAAUACCGCAUAACAUAAUUGAGUGGCAUCACUUGAUUAUCAAACGUCAGGGUUGAAGAUGGGCAUGCGUCCGAUUAGUUUGUUGGUGAGGUAACGGCUCACCAAGACUACGAUCGGUAGGGGAUCUGAGAGGAUGGCCCCCCACACUGGUACUGAGACACGGACCAGACUCCUACGGGAGGAAGCAGUAAGGAAUAUUGGUCAAUGGACGGAAGUCUGAACCAGCCAUGCCGCGUGCAGGAAGACGGUCCUCUGGAUUGUAAACUGCUUUUGUUAGGGAAGAAACUUCCGUACGUGUACGGGACUGACGGUACCUAAAGAAUAAGGAUCGGCUAACUCCGUGCCAGCCGCCGCCGUAACAC
rnacentral:rRNA from 1 species